CCUACGGGAGGCAGCAGUGAGGAAUAUUGGUCAAUGGGCGAGAGCCUGAACCAGCCAAGCCGCGUGAGGGAAGACGGCCCUGUGGGUUGUAAACCUCUUUUGUCAGGGAACAAAGCCCGGGACGCGUCCCCGGCUGCGUGUACCCGAAGAAAAAGCAUCGGCUAACUCCGUGCCAGCAGCCGCGGUAAUACGGGGGAUGCGAGCGUUAUCCGGAUUUAUUGGGUUAAAAGGGUGCGUAGGCGGUCUGUUAAGUCCGCGGUAAAAUUCCGGGGCUCAACCCCGUCCCGCCGUUGAAACUGGCAGUCUUGAGUUGGCGAGAAGUAGGCGGAAUGCGCGGUGUAGCGGUGAAAUGCAUAGAUAUCGCGCAGAACUCCGAUUGCGAAGGCAGCGUACCGGCGCCAGACUGACGCUGAGGCACGAAAGCGUGGGUAUCGAACAGGAUUAGAUACCCUUGUAGUC
rnacentral:rRNA from 1 species